rnacentral:misc_RNA from 1 species
AAGUCGUAACAAGGUUUCCGUAGGUGAACCUGCGGAAGGAUCAUUAAUAAGAGUUAUGCCCCUUUUUUAGGGGUAGACCUCCAACCCUAUGUUUAUUUUAAAUCUUUUGUUGCUUUGGCGGUGUUGUAAAAAAGCUUAAGGCUUUUUUUCACACUGGCAUUUUUAUAGCUAGUAAAACCCGCCAGAGGAAAAUUAAAACUCUGAAUAAUUUUUAAUGUCCGAAUUUUCUAUAUAAAUUAAAACAAAAACUUUCAACAACGGAUCUCUUGGUUCUG